AAGGCAAUAUUUUAAAGUGAAUCUUAAAUUAGAACUCUUGAAACACAAUGCAAAAUGUAUUAAACAGUUUAAGGCGCUGAGGUAAAUGGAAAGAGCGCCUGCUAAGCUUGCUGUCUGCCGCAGGCGGUUGUUCAACAUAUUUCCCAUAAAAUUUAUUAUAUUUAUUUACAUUAAUGUAAUUUAAUAUAUAAGUGUAUUUUUCUUAUAAGUUUCUUAUAAACAAAAAGUUCUUAUAAACAAAAGUUCUUAUAAACAAAAGUCUAUUGAUGUUUGCUGUUCACUAAUCAACCACCACGGGCAUGGGCGUCGAAAGUAAAUAAAAAAGUGGGCGUGUCCUGUCCCACCCACAUAUAAUGGUCCCGACGCCCAUGGAUUUCAGGAAGCAGGAGCAUGGUCAAUGCUGUAAGUAAAACGCGGAAUGGAGUUUAAUUUAUUCGGGCAUUCCUCAAGCAGAAUGGAUUCGACUGGCAGUGCUCUGAAAAUGAGAGCCAUUGGAUCUGACAAGCAAAGUGAGCCAUUACCCAAAUCUGCAAAACGGAAAAAAGUGAACCUCAUUUGGACUCCCUGAAAUUUGCUUCGUUUUCCAUUUCAGUGUAAUAUGUAUAUUACAAAGUAACAAUUAGUGUCAUAUAUUUUCACCCAACCUUAAAAUAACUUGUGUGCAAGUUAAAAUACGGCCUUUAAAUUCUCACAUUUUAUGUUGGGCCAUAUAUUACUGUGUUACAUUGAUAUCUAAUGUAAGUCAAAAGCCAUUACUUUAAUACAUGCUAUAAGAAAAAAGGGGUCUGUGAACUGUGAACGUUGACACUACAAAACAAAACAAAGAGAAAAUGUCAAAGGAAAGGACUAAAACCACAUUUAAGUUUUACUUUAAAACAAUUUUUAUAAAUUCCAACAAAAUAAAUUCUAGCCUGCAACAUGUGGCUAUUUUUACUUAAAUAUCGAGGUUUCAAAAUGGAAACAGCAGUUAAAGCAUAUGAUUCUAUUGACCAACACUAUGAUAAGUGACUAUCUGUUGCACUGUACUGUAGGUCAUUCUCUUGGGAGGUCUUAUCCAGUUGACUUUUGUAUUUUUGAUGUAGCAAAUGUGUCAUGCAAAUGUAGCUUUGUAGUGUGUAUUAGCUUUUUUUUUUCUUGUGGAGUUUUGUAACAAGGAAGUGUUAUUAGGUUUAAUAAUUAUCUUUACUGUUUUGUAUAUUAGGAUGUAUGAUCAUGUUGCCUGUCUAUCUGGGUUGAUGCCUGUGUAUGUUUGUACUCAAGAAUAAAAAACACUUUAACUCUAA